rnacentral:lncRNA from 1 species
CGGGGACGCGGCCCCGGGCUCCCGCCCGCCCUCGCACGCACACACGCACACACAUACACACACACUCACACACUCACACGCGCGCUCCCUCGGUGCCUGCUCCUUCCUCGCCCCCCGCCGCCUCCCCCGCCUCCUCCUCCUCCUUUCUCUGCGACGAGACGGAGAGAGGGAGCGAGGGGAACGGCGCUCGCAGUUGUAAUUGAGGAGCCGCCAGGACACAGCUGGAUGCUCGCUGCCGCCGCUGCUCCCUCUCCUUCUUUGUGUUACGGACUGAUGUGCAACUAAUUAGCGGCGGGCAGGCUGCGCAUCCGAGCCCCCCCAGUAAAGAGCCCGGUAAGUGACUGCUUUGCUUUUUUCCCUCUCCUCCCUCCUUCUCCGUGUUCUUUUCUUUUUUUCUUUUUUUUUUUUUCCUUAGGGGGGUGGCUUUUCUUUUUUUUUUUUUUAUCUUUCUCGUUCUGUGCUUUGUCGGCGGCUUUUUGUAUCUUUUAUUUUUCAUUUUUUGCCGUCGUUCUUGUCCUCCGGGCUCGCCAAAGUACCCGAACGCCAGAGCCGGGCGAGAAAAGGCGCCGCGGCAUUAAUUUAUUAAUUAAUCUGCCCCCGCCCCUCCUCCCGAAUGUCAAAUAUGACCUCUGCUCCCCGGCUCCUGCACGACAGACGUGCGGGAGCGAACAUGCACGGCCACGGCCGCCUCCCGCCGGCGGUCCCCGGUGCGGGCUGCGGGCUCAGCCCCGGGCACGCGGCCUCGCGGUGCGUGAUCGAUGCGUGCCCGCCGCCGC